GAUGAACGCUGGCGGCGUGCCUAAUACAUGCAAGUCGAGCGAACAGACGAGGAGCUUGCUCCUCUGACGUUAGCGGCGGACGGGAGAGUAACACGUGGUUAACCUACCUAUAAGACUGGGAUAACUACGGGAAACCGGAGCUAAUACCGGAAAAUUUAUUGAACCGCAUGGUUCAAUAGUGAAAGUCGGUUUUGCUGUCACUUAUAGAUGGCUCAGCGCAGCAUUAGCUAGUUGGUAAGGUAACUGAUUACCAACGCGACGAUGCGUAGACGACCUGAAGGGGUGGUCGGGCAGCCGGUAUGUGAGACAGGUCCGAGACUCCGGGAGGAGGCCACAGUAGGGAAUCUUCCGCGAGGGAGGAGAGCCUGACGGUGCAACGUCGGGUGAGUCAUGAAGGUGUUAUGAUCGUAAAGCUAUGUUAUUAGGGAAGAUCAAAUGUUUAAGUAACUAGGCACAUAUUGACGGUACCGGAUGAGAAAGCCACGGCUAACUACGUG
rnacentral:rRNA from 1 species